CGCUGGCGGCGUGCCUAAUACAUGCAAGUCGAACGCACUCUCGUUUAGAUUGAAGGAGCUUGCUCCUGAUUGAUAAACAUUUGAGUGAGUGGCGGACGGGUGAGUAACACGUGGGUAACCUGCCCUAAAGUGGGGGAUAACAUUUGGAAACAGAUGCUAAUACCGCAUAAAACCCAACACCGCAUGGUGUAGGGUUGAAAGAUGGUUUCGGCUAUCACUUUAGGAUGGACCCGCGGUGCAUUAGUUAGUUGGUGAGGUAAAGGCUCACCAAGACCGUGAUGCAUAGCCGACCUGAGAGGGUAAUCGGCCACACUGGGCUGAGACACGGCCCAGACUCCUACGGGAGGCAGCAGUAGGGAAUCUUCCACAAUGGACGAAAGUCUGAUGGAGCAACGCCGCGUGAGUGAAGAAGGUUUUCGGAUCGUAAAACUCUGUUGUUGGAGAAGAAUGUAUCUGAUAGUAACUGAUCAGGUAGUGACGGUAUCCAACCAGAAAGCCACGGCUAACUACGUG
rnacentral:rRNA from 1 species